rnacentral:rRNA from 1 species
GUGCAGCAGGCGCGAAUCCUUCGCAAUGCAGGAAACUGCGACGAGGGAACUCCAAGUGUCUACGCUCAGCGUAGGCUGUUCUCAAGCCUAGAAAGCUUGAGGAGUAAGGGGCUGGGGUAAGACGGGUGCCAUCUGUGGUAGCAGUCAAUAGAUUCGAUUUGUUACUGCAAGGCAUAAGCCGCCGCGGUAAUACCCGCAGCCCAAGUGUGCCGCUUUUAUGGGCCUAAAGCGUCCGUAGCCGGCCC